ACGAACGCUGGCGGCGUGGAUAAGACAUGCAAGUCGAACGAGAGAAUUGCUAGCUUGCUAAUAAUUCUCUAGUGGCGCACGGGUGAGUAACACGUGAGUAACCUGCCCCCGAGAGCGGGAUAGCCCUGGGAAACUGGGAUUAAUACCGCAUAGUAUGGAAAGAUUAAAGCAGCAAUGCGCUUGGGGAUGGGCUCGCGGCCUAUUAGUUAGUUGGUGAGGUAACGGCUCACCAAGGCGAUGACGGGUAGCCGGUCUGAGAGGAUGUCCGGCCACACUGGAACUGAGACACGGUCCAGACACCUACGGGUGGCAGCAGUCGAGAAUCAUUCACAAUGGGGGAAACCCUGAUGGUGUGACGCCGCGUGGGGGAAUGAAGGUCUUCGGAUUGUAAACCCCUGUCAUGUGGGAGCAAAUUAAAAAGAUAGUACCACAAGAGGAAGAGACGGCUAACUCUGUGCCAGCAGCCGCGGUAAUACAGAGGUCUCAAGCGUUGUUCGGAAUCACUGGGCGUAAAGCGUGCGUAGGCUGUUUCGUAAGUCGUGUGUGAAAGGCGCGGGCUCAACCCGCGGACGGCACAUGAUACUGCGAGACUAGAGUAAUGGAGGGGGAACCGGAAUUCUCGGUGUAGCAGUGAAAUGCGUAGAUAUCGAGAGGAACACUCGUGGCGAAGGCGGGUUCCUGGACAUUAACUGACGCUGAGGCACGAAGGCCAGGGGAGCGAAAGGGAUUAGAUACCCCUGUAGUCCUGGCAGUAAACGGUGCACGCUUGGUGUGCGGGGAAUCGACCCCCUGCGUGCCGGAGCUAACGCGUUAAGCGUGCCGCCUGGGGAGUACGGUCGCAAGAUUAAAACUCAAAGAAAUUGACGGGGACCCGCACAAGCGGUGGAGUAUGUGGCUUAAUUCGAUGCAACGCGAAGAACCUUACCUGGGCUUGACAUGUAAUGAACAACAUGUGAAAGCAUGCGACUCUUCGGAGGCGUUACACAGGUGCUGCAUGGCCGUCGUCAGCUCGUGUCGUGAGAUGUUUGGUUAAGUCCAGCAACGAGCGCAACCCCUGUUGCCAGUUACCAGCACGUGAAGGUGGGGACUCUGGCGAGACUGCCCAGAUCAACUGGGAGGAAGGUGGGGACGACGUCAGGUCAGUAUGGCCCUUAUGCCCAGGGCUGCACACGUACUACAAUGCCCAGUACAGAGGGGGCCGAAGCCGCGAGGCGGAGGAAAUCCUGAAAACUGGGCCCAGUUCGGACUGUAGGCUGCAACCCGCCUACACGAAGCCGGAAUCGCUAGUAAUGGCGCAUCAGCUACGGCGCCGUGAAUACGUUCCCGGGUCUUGUACACACCGCCCGUCACAUCAUGGAAGCCGGUCGCACCCGAAGUAUCUGAAGCCAACCGCAAGGAGGCAGGGUCCUAAGGUGAGACUGGUAACUGGGAUG
rnacentral:rRNA from 1 species